rnacentral:lncRNA from 1 species
UCAAGUUCUUUCUAUUUCUUGACCAUCCUCAAAUGCCAACUUGUAAAUUCCCGGGCGAACCUCCUCGAUGACUACGUAGGGUCCUUCCCACUUUGGAGAUAGCUUUCCUUUAGUUUGGUCUAGUCCUGUGAUUCUUCCAUUCCUCAGUACCAGGUCUCCUAGGUUUAUUUUCUUUUUAUUUACCUUUCGGUUAUGGUAUCGUGCUGUCCUCCUUUUGUAAGUUAAGUCUCUUAUUGCUGUGACUUCUCUCAACUCUUCACACCUUUCUUUGGCUAGUAAGAUGGCCAAAUUGUUAUCUUUUGGACUGAAAUUUGCUAUUCUUGUUGUUGGCCAUAUCACCUCUACUGGGGCCACUGCAUCUAUUCCAAAGGCUAAAGUGAAUGGUGGAUGCCCUAUUGGUAUACGUACGGUUGUUCUGUACGCCCAUAUUGUUUCUGGUAUUAAAUCUGCCCAUUUACCUGGGUUGUCUCCUACUUUUUUUUUAAGUAUAGAUGUUAUUGUCCGGUUUGUAACUUCGACUUGCCCAUUUGCUUGUGGAUGAUAUACCGGAGAAAAACUCAUUUUUAUACCACUAUCUUCACAGAAUUUCCUUACUUUUUUCCCUGUGAACUGCGUUCCAUUAUCUGUUAUUAUUUGUAACAAGACACCAAACCUGCAGAUGAUGUUUCUAAAGAUGAAUGAUGUUCUGUUCUGAUAUUGUACUUGUUGGUUCUGCUUCGGCCCAUUUGGUAAAGUAGUCGACCGCAACAAAUAAGAAUUUCCAACCCCUUGAUGCUACUGGAAAAGGCCCUACGAUGUCCAAUCCCCAUUGGGCAAACGGUACUGAUGUGGUAAUUGGGUUCAUUACGCUGGAUGGCCUUCUUUGAAUAUUCGCGUGCCUUUGACACUCGUUGCAACUUCUUAACAGUUCCUCAGAGUCCCUAUUUAUUUGUGGCCAAUAGUAUCCCUGCCUUGCUACUUGCUUUCCCAACAUCUUGGCACCCUGGUGUGGACCACACGCCCCCCUGUGUGCGCUCGUUAGUAUCUCUUUUCCUUCUUCGCGCGUCACGCAAAUCCGUAAGGGAAUGCUAUCCUCUACUGCCCUACGGAAAAGAUUGUCCCCUACUAUUGUGAACCAAGCUGCCUUGUUCUUCAGUUUUCUUUCUUCCAUCGGGUCCAUCGGGAUUGUUCUCUUUGUAAUGUAGUUCUUUAUCGGUGUUCUCUAAUCUUCUUCUUCUGCCAGUGUUAGAAUUUUAUUUCUCGCAAUAUUUGCUAUUGAUGGUGUCUCUUGCUGUUCCACUCGGAUCCACCGUCCCUUCAGAACAUUUGGAGACGCCUCCAACCUUGCUAAAACAUCUGCUUCUUUAUUAUCCGUACGGCUUAUGUGAUGAAAUUCCCAUUCUGUGAAAAAUUGCAUCACGUUGCGUGCUGCCUCUGUGUACCGACACAUCCCUUCCUCUUUGGAUACGAAUUCCCCGUUAACUUUGUUUGCCACUAAACGCGAGUCCGUAUGGAAUUUUCCCGUCUGGCACCUAAUGCCUUCCCCAGUCGUGCCCCUACUAAUAGUGCUUCAUACUCUGCUUCAUUGUUCGUUGUUUUGAAAUCGAAAUUUAUCGCAUGCUCCACCUUUUCUUUUGUUGGGGUUUGGAUUAUUAUGCCUGCUCCGCAUCCAGAGUUGCUUGCCUACCCAUCAACAUGAAUGAUCCACCAAUCUUUAGAUUUUUCUAUGCUUGGUGUAAAUUCUGUCAAGAAGUCAGCAACCGCUUGUCCUUUGAUUGCUUUUGCUGGUACUAUAUUUACAUAAAAUUCACUUAAUUCCACAGCCCAUUUCGUUAACCUGCCCGAUACAUCUGGUUUAUGUAAUAAUUGUAACAAUGGAAAUUCCAUCGGAAGAGUUAUCGGGUGUGCUUGAAAGUAAGGUUUUAGCUUUCUCGCUGCUGUUACCACCGCUAAUCCCAACUUUUCAAUUUGUGGAUAUCUUUUCUCUGCCCCCUGUAAAGCGCGAGAAUAGUAGUAAAUGGACUUUUGUGUGCCCUCUCUUUCAUAUAUUAAAACUGCACUGGUAGCAUUAUCAGAUGCGGCUAUGUACAAUUUUAAUGGUUCCUCUGGAAAAGGUGGCUGCAAAGUUGGCAAAUUUCUUAACUGUUCCUUAAGUCGUUGAAACGCUUCUUCACAUUCCUCCGUCCAUGUCACUCUUGGACUUGAUGAUUUUAUUAAUUUGAAUAAAGGUUGUAAUGUGUCUGCCCCCUGGCUAGGAAUCGACUUAAUGCGUUUACUUUUCCAUUAAGCUUCUGGACUUCUUUUAUUGUCC